AACGUAGGUGGCGAGCGUUAUCCGGAAUUACUGGGCGUAAAGCGUGCGCAGGCGGUUUUGUAAGCCAGAUGUGAAAGCCCCGGGCUCAACCUGGGAAUGGCAUUUGGGACUGCAAGGCUUGAGUGCGGCAGAGGAGACUGGAAUUCCUGGUGUAGCGGUGAAAUGCGCAGAUAUCAGGAGGAACACCAAUUGCGAAGGCAGCUCGCUGGGACGUUACUGACGCUGAGACGCGAAAGCGUGGGGAGCAAACAGG
rnacentral:rRNA from 1 species